GGGGUUGUGGCUCCGUGGUGGAGCGCUUGCCUUGCGUGCAUGAGGCCCUGGGUUCUAUCCUCAGCACCA
rnacentral:tRNA from 1 species